CCUGUAUAAUGCGACAGUUGCAGAGGUCCGCUUCGGAAUGUACAAAAACGCGCGAUAUAUUAUAAUUAUUUGGCUUGAAAUCGGAUUACGGUUGUGUGGAGACGCAGCUGUACAAGGAAGAAGGGAAAGGGGAAACGCCCGCGGGUCGCCGUAAUUUGAAAUAUUUGAUCGUUUAAAAAAUUAUGGGAUGUUGGAUUUUCGAGGCGAAAUACUGAAACU